CCUACGGGUGGCUGCAGUGAGGAAUAUUGGUCAAUGGCCGGAAGGCUGAACCAGCCAAGCCGCGUGAAUGACGAAGGUGCCAAGCAUUGUAAACUUCUUUUGUCAAGGGACAAAAUCAGGCUCGAGAGCCUGACCGAGGGUACUUGAAGAAAAAGCAUCGGCUAACUCCGUGCCAGCAGCGGCGGUAAUACGGAGGAUGCGAGCGUUAUCCGGAUUUAUUGGGUUUAAGGGGUGGGUAGGGGGGCGGUUAAGUCAGCGGUAAAACCCCGGGGCUCAACCCCGGCGAGCCGUUGAAACUGGCUGUCUUGAGAUGUCGAGAGGUAUGCGGAAUGCGAAGUGUAGCGGUGAAAUGCUUAGAUAUUGCGAAGAACUCCGAUUGCGAAGGCAGCAUACCGGCGGCGAUCUGACGCUGAGGCACGAAAGCGUGGGUAUCGAACAGGAUUAGAUACCCGUGUAGUC
rnacentral:rRNA from 1 species